rnacentral:rRNA from 1 species
GACGAACGCUGGCGGCGUGCUUAACACAUGCAAGUCGAACGAUGAAGCCGGAGCUUGCUCUGGUGAAUUAGUGGCGAACGGGUGAGUAACACGUGAGUAACCUGCCCUUGACUCUGGGAUAACUGCUAGAAAUGGUAGCUAAUACCGGAUACGACCCUCGGAGGCAUCUCCAGGGGGUGGAAAGAAUUUCGGUCAAGGACGGACUCGCGGCCUAUCAGCUAGUUGGUGAGGUAAUGGCUCACCAAGGCGACGACGGGUAGCCGGCCUGAGAGGGUGACCGGCCACACUGGGACUGAGACACGGCCCAGACUCCUACGGGAGGCAGCAGUGGGGAAUAUUGCACAAUGGGCGCAAGCCUGAUGCAGCAACGCCGCGUGAGGGAUGACGGCCUUCGGGUUGUAAACCUCUUUUAGUAGGGAAGAAGCGAAAGUGACGGUACCUGCAGAAAAAGCACCGGCUAACUACGUGCCAGCCGCCGCAGUAA